AUGCCAUUCAUUCAAAUUCCUGAACAUUGGCUAUAUAUGCAGUACUUACCAGAGCCAGUUUCCAUUUUGCUUUGAUUUUUUUGUUGUGUUUUUUCUUUUAAAUCUGCCACUUAUCUGAUUCUUCUGGGUCCAUGGCAGAGAGAAGAACGAAUAGGCCUUUCUCUUGUGUUAUGUUAUUACAUGAGACCAGUAUGCCGUUCAUUUAGAGAGAGACCAAGCAGAAAAGUCUCUGGAAGGAGUUAUUUUUAUUCUUUAAGAAUUAGAAGACACUGGCAUUUGAAUUUCCUGACAAAGCCAUCCCUUGGUUUUUCUAUUUUUGGUGAUGGUUCUGGGCGGGUUUGCUCCCUUCAGGCCAAGUGUGUCUCUAACUUUACCCUUCUGUAUUUUACUGCAUUCACAGAAUACAAUUUAGGAAGACCCUUUAUCCCAAAGAUAAAUGUGUGCUAACAAAGUCAUAGGCUGCAAUUUAAACCCAAGUGUGUGUAUAUGUGGAUUCUUAGCCAUUAUAGUCAGUUCCAUGGCUCCCUUCUAAUGUGAAUAAUUUUAAAUCAUUUAAAAUCUCAAAUAGAGAAGAAAUUAAAAUCAUUCAGAUAUGAGUAAAAGAACUCAAUGACUUUGUUUUCAAAUUUUUAUGUACUCAGGGUUAUCCACAGAUAAUAACAUGGCUUUUGAGACUUGGCAUCUUUCUUGCUUUAUUACGUUUUUGAAUCAUAAGUUUACUUUAUUGUUUUUUUUUUUUGUUUUUUUGUUUUUUUGGUUCUGCUUUUGCCCUGCUGGGUUUUUCGUCCUGGAUUCCCCCUUUGUCAUGUUACAUGUUGCUAGGACCUGGAUAAGGCCCAGGAGGCCAUUCUGAAACAUCAGGCUAGCAUUAGUGAACUCAAGCGCAAUUUCAUGGCGUCCACACCUGAGCCUCGCCCCAGUGAAUGGGAGAAGCGGCGGGUCACACCUCUGCCUUUCCAACCACAAGCGGUAUGUCACUGGCUGCCUCUCGGCUCUCUGUCUCGUGUGCUCCUGCAACUUGUUUGUCGAUUCUCAGACGUUAGAAAAUGUUUGCACAUAAACUCUUUUCUAUUGCUAACAAUUUUUAAACUACUAAGUAUUAACAAUGUAAUAUUUGUUAGUUUAAUUCUUAGGUAAAUUUUAUGCACUGCAAAGUACUUUGGAAAUAUUUUCAGAGUAAUUUUAUUGUACUUAGGUAAUAAAUUAGCAGUAUUGAGUUGUUAGGCCAACUCAGGAACUAAUGCAAGCUGUGUGUCUAAGAAGCUUAGUUACUGGCUUCGCAAAUACAGAUUCUGCUUUGUGAAGGAAAAUAUAUGUAGAUUAGUUUAAGUUUAUUACUAUGAAGAUAAGGAGCUAAGAUUUACCUUUGGAGAUUGAUGAGCUCUGUUGGAAAGUUCUGACAUAUUACAAAAUACUAUACAUCAAUACUCUUAGGGCACUUCUUGGAAAAACUUUUAAACACCAGUGAACCCCAAACAUUCUUCUUUGUUUUUACCGAAGGUAAGGCCUUACUGCUUACUGUCACAAGGAUUGCCUUUAGAGUCCUCUCAGAUUAUCUCUGCAUCCAUUCCAUUUUCUGCCUUCAUAUUUUUUUUCUUGAUGCUUCCAGAUACAGUUUAUCCUUCUUGAGAUUCAUAGUUUGCUUUUCACUUUGGAAAGCUGCUGUGGUAGAAUUUAUUAUGUACCUUUCCUUAUGUAGUGCCUAUUGCCCAAUUGUAAACAUUUGGUUUGGAUACUUCCAUGUUGGUUUUUCUCGCCCCUCUUCAGCGCAAGCCCCUAGUAGUAAUAUGCUUCUAAGUUCGUGGCCUUGAGUGGAAAGCAGAGCUUUAAAAACCAGUGAACAAAAGCGGUUGGUGAACUGAAAAAUAAAGCCUGUCAAAUGGAGAGGUUAGAUAAGCUGCACGCUGUGUUGUGAAGGAAGAAAGCAGCGUUUACUGGCCGGUGCUUUCAACAGCGUGGUCUAGAAUCUCUAGAGAAGCAGUGACUUCAGAUCUAGGACUGAGCGGCCUUCCUCUGUGUACUGUUCCAUCUGGUUUGUCCCACUGCCCCAUGCACGCAUCCUCUUACAUCUGUGUCGCUAAGGUGUGAUGCAUGUGUCUUUGUGUUGAUUGUGUCAUUGUUUAAAGCAAUAGAGAAAAGGCCAGAAUCCUUUCAAGGAUAUUCUGUCUGCGAGGGAGCAGUACCCGAUGGCGGCAGCACAGGUAUCAUCGGCAGGGGCAGCUCAGGCGCACAGGUGCUUUCCUCUCAUCGCUGCGUCUGCUUCCACUCCCUUCCUCCAGAGAGUUCUGCUCACAUUCAGGAAUACGAUUUUUAACGUCAAUUUAUCUUUCAAAUAGUUUUUGAAUGUUUAAAAAGUUAGGCUCAUAACAGCCAAAGUUCCUCAGAGGAAACAAAAAACAAAC
rnacentral:lncRNA from 1 species